CAUGCAGAGAACUUCAGAGAUGGAUUGGUGCCUUCGGGAACUCUGACACAGGUGCUGCAUGGCUGUCGUCAGCUCGUGUCGUGAGAUGGUUGGGUUAAGUCCCGUAACGAGCGCAACCCUUGUCCUUAGUUACCAGCACGUUAUGGUGGGCACUCUAAGGAGACUGCCGGUGACAAACCGGAGGAAGGUGGGGAUGACGUCAAGUCAUCAUGGCCCUUACGGCCUGGGCUACACACGUGCUACAAUGGUCGGUACAAAGGGUUGCCAAGCCGCGAGGUGGAGCUAAUCCCAUAAAACCGAUCGUAGUCCGGAUCGCAGUCUGCAACUCGACUGCGUGAAGUCGGAAUCGCUAGUAAUCGUGAAUCAGAAUGUCACGGUGAAUACGUUCCCGGGCCUU
rnacentral:rRNA from 1 species